rnacentral:rRNA from 1 species
CCUACGGGCGACAGCAGUAGGGAAUCUUUCACAAUGGGCGAAAGCCUGAUGGAGCAACGCCGCGUGCAGGAUGAAGGCCUUCGGGUUGUAAACUGCUUUUAUAAGCGAGAAAUAUGAUGGUAACUUAUGAAUAAGGAUCGGCUAACUACGUGCCAGCAGCCGCGGUCAUACGUAGGAUCCGAGCAUUAUCCGGAGUGACUGGGUGUAAAGAGUUGCGUAGGUGGCAUAAUAAGUAGCUAGUGAAAUCUGGUGGCUCAACCAUUCAGACUAUUAGCUAAACUGUUAAGCUCGAGACCGUUAGGGGUAACUGGAAUUUCUAGUGUAGGAGUGAAAUCCGUAGAUAUUAGAAGGAACACCGAUAGCGUAGGCAGGUUGCUGGGACGGUUCUGACACUAAGGCACGAAAGCGUAGGGAGCAAACGGGAUUAGAUACCCGAGUAGUC